rnacentral:tRNA from 1 species
CUGUAGCUCAAUUGGAUAGAGCGUUAGCCUCCUAAGCUGAAGGUUGCGAGUUCGAUUCCCGCCAGGG